GACGAACGCUGGCGGCGUGCUUAACACAUGCAAGUCGAACGAUGAAGUUCCUUCGGGAAUGGAUUAGUGGCGAACGGGUGAGAAACACGUGAGAAACCUGUCUUUCAUUUUGGGAUAACUCCGGGAAACCGGAGCUAACACCGAAUACUCCGUCUCGGCGGCAUCGCUGAGCCGGGAAAAAAUUAUGAUGAAAGAUGGUCUCGCGGCCUAUCAGCUAGUUGGUGAGGUAAUGGCUCACCAAGGCGACGCCGGGUAGCCGGCCUGAGAGGGCGACCGGCCACACUGGGACUGAGACACGGCCCAGACUCCUACGGGAGGCAGCAGUGGGGAAUAUUGGGCAAUGGGCGCAAGCCUGACCCAGCGACGCCGCGUGAGGGAUGAAGGCCUUCGGGUUGUAAACCUCUUUCAGUAGGGAAGAAGCGAAAGUGACGGUACCUAAAGAAGAAGCACCGGCUAACUAUGUGCCAGCCGCCGCAGUAA
rnacentral:rRNA from 1 species